rnacentral:rRNA from 1 species
AAUAUUAAAGGGCUGCAGUAUUUUGACUGUACAAAGGUAGCAUAAUCAAUAGUCUUUUAAUUGAAGACUUGUAUGAAAGAUUGAAUGAAAUAUAAACUGUUUCUAUAUUAAAUUUAAAACUUAAUUUUUUAGUUAAAAAGCUAAAAUAAUUUUAAAAGACGAGAAGACCCUAUAGAGUUUUAUAAUUUAAUUGAUUUUUAUGUAAUAUAAAAAUUUAAUUAAAAAUUAUUUAAAUUAUUUUAUUGGGGUGAUAGAAAAAUUAAAUAAACUUUUUAUAAUAUUUUACAUAAAUAAAUGAAUAAAUGAUCCAUAAAUUAUGAUUAAAAGAUUAAAUUACCUUAGGGAUAACAGCGUAAUAUUUUUUUUUAGUUCAAAUAAAAAAGAAAGUUUGCGACCUCGAUGUUGGAUUAAGAUAAAAAUUAAAUGCAAAAGUUUAAAUUUUU